rnacentral:rRNA from 1 species
CCUACGGGAGGCAGCAGUGAGGAAUAUUGGACAAUGGGCGCAAGCCUGAUCCAGCCAUGCCGCGUGCAGGAUGACGGUCCUAUGGAUUGUAAACUGCUUUUAUACGAGAAGAAACACCCCUACGUGUAGGGACUUGACGGUAUCGUAAGAAUAAGGAUCGGCUAACUCCGUGCCAGCAGCCGCGGUAAUACGGAGGAUCCAAGCGUUAUCCGGAAUCAUUGGGUUUAAAGGGUCCGUAGGCGGUUUAGUAAGUCAGUGGUGAAAUCUUCCCGCUCAACGGGGAAACGGCCAUUGAUACUGCUAGACUUGAAUUAUUAGGAAGUAACUAGAAUAUGUAGUGUAGCGGUGAAAUGCUUAGAGAUUACAUGGAAUACCAAUUGCGAAGGCAGGUUACUACUAAUGGAUUGACGCUGAUGGACGAAAGCGUGGGUAGCGAACAGGAUUAGAUACCCUGGUAGUCCACGCCGUAAACGAUGGAUACUAGCUGUUGGGUGCAAACUCAGUGGCUAAGCGAAAGUGAUAAGUAUCCCACCUGGGGAGUACGUUCGCAAGAAUGAAACUUAAAGGAAUUGACGGNNGAGAGNGCGAGACGACGACGAGGAGAGG